GAUCGAGUAAACGUACGGUUGGCUGUGGGCAUAUACCCGAAAAACAAAGCUGAUGGCUCUAUCGAGAGGGUUCCUCUUGUGGCAAAAGUUGUAGAUCUUGGACACUGCAUUAGCUCGAUGUCAAAAAGGCCUUUCUCCUUUCUUCACGAAGACCUACACGAAUUGGUUUCUGUCCGUCCUCCAUCUGGGUUUCGAGCUCAAGGGGAGAAAGGGAAAGUUUGAAGGUGAAAAAAGACAGACAUCUUAACGUGAAGUCUUUGCAGAUUCUGGGAUUUUCAUGCCAUGGAUUCUUAUCUACAGAAAGUUCUUCAGCCCUCAACGUGCUUAAAGUUUCAAGUCAAAAGGCAGGUUAUGGUAAGCAGCCAAAUAAUGGGAAAUUCAACCAUCAAGAUGAGCAACUAAUCUGGGUCAGUCUUGAUCAGCACAUGUCCAACAGGAAGAGUAGGCCCUUUUUUUUUUUUUUU